rnacentral:tRNA from 1 species
UUCUGGGUAACUUUGUCAGUAAAGUAUCUGCCUGCAAUGUGGGAAACCUAGGUUCGAUUCCUAGGUCAGGAA